rnacentral:rRNA from 1 species
UACGUAGGGGGGCGAGCGUUGUCCGGAUUUAUUGGGCGUAAAGAGCGUGUAGGCGGCCAGGUAGGUCUGCUGUGAAAACUCGAGGCUUAACCUCGAGCUGUCGGCGGAAACCAUCUGGCUAGAGUCCGGAAGAGGAGAAUGGAAUUCCCGGUGUAGCGGUGAAAUGCGCAGAUAUCGGGAAGAACACCCGUGGCGAAGGCGGUUCUCUGGGACGGUACUGACGCUGAGACGCGAAAGCGUGGGGAGCGAACAGG